AGAAUCAACGCUGGCGGCGUGCCUAACACAUGCAAGUCGAACGAGAAAGUGGGAGCAAUCCCACGAGUAAAGUGGCGCACGGGUGAGUAACACGUGACUAACCUACCCUUGAGUGGGGGAUAACCUAGGGAAACCUGGGCUAAUACCGCAUAAUACCUACGGGUCAAAGGAGCAAUUCGCUUUAGGAGGGGGUCGCGGCAGAUUAGUUAGUUGGCGGGGUAAUGGCCCACCAAGACAGUGAUCUGUAUCCGGCCUGAGAGGGCGCACGGACACACUGGAACUGAAACACGGUCCAGACUCCUACGGGAGGCAGCAGUGGGGAAUUUUGCGCAAUGGGGGAAACCCUGACGCAGCAACGCCGCGUGGAGGAUGAAGCCCCUUGGGGCGUAAACUCCUUUCGAUCGGGAAGAUAAUGGACGGUACCGGAAGAAGAAGCCCCGGCUAACUUCGCGCCAGCAGCCGC
rnacentral:rRNA from 1 species